AGACCUAUGGUGUAAUGGUAACACUCCGGUUUUUGGUACCGUCAUUCGGGGUUCGAGUCCCUGUGGGUCUA
rnacentral:tRNA from 1 species